rnacentral:rRNA from 1 species
AUACAGAGGGUGCGAGCGUUAAUCGGAAUUACUGGGCGUAAAGCGCGCGUAGGCGGCUUAUUAAGUCAGAUGUGAAAUCCCCGGACUCAACCUGGGAACUGCAUCUGAUACUGGUAAGCUAGAGUUUUGGAGAGGGAAGUAGAAUUUCAGGUGUAGCGGUGAAAUGCAUAGAGAUCUGAAGGAAUACCAGUGGCGAAGGCGACUUCCUGGCCAAAAACUGACGCUGAGGUGCGAAAGCGUGGGUAGCAAACGGGAUUAGAAACCCCAGUAGUCC